AACUUAGGUCACCCACGUUAACUUAGGACGUUUCUGUUGACUAACUUUGGGCGUUCUAUUUAUUAAAAUUUGAAAGUCAUAAAUGCUGGGCUUAAAAGAAAAGAAUCUCUCAGAACCUGAAAUGAAAAUUUAGCAUUAUAUGACAGUUUUGAGAAAAAUGAUUCAGAGUUCUUUAAAAAUUAAACUUCCCAAAUGAUUCUAGAUUGAAUUAUAUUCUGAAUACCUAAUAUCUGCAGAUUACUGUUUUAGAUGCUAUAGAGACAAAAAGUAGGUAUAUUAGCCUUCUAAUCCUUAAAGAAUCUGUAGUCCAAUUGGGGAAGUAAGCACAAGGCAGGUGAAAAAGAGAAAUAAUAAAACAAAGCAGCAUACAAUAAAUUUCCAAAUGACUAAUGCCAAUAAUCAGAGAUAUGUGUGCAAUUAGAUAACAAUAACUGAGUUAGAGCCAUCUAGAAAGAAAUCGUACUUGAUGUGAGUCUUGCAGAAGGGAAUAAUUUGGAUAAAACAGGAGAAUAAUUGGUGUAUAAAGGAGAAAGAAGAGUGGAGCAAAAACAUAGGUGUAGAUAAGCUUCAGAGAAAUUUAGGAAGCAGGGAUCAGACUCCCCCGGCUGUAGCAGAGGAACCCUGGGAGGACAACGAGGACUUGGAGGGAAUGAAGGUUGAAGUGAGACAAACAAGAACAUGAAUGCAAAGCCAUGGAGUUCAGACCUCCUCCCACAGUGUUCUGUCAGCUGUGGGGAAUACAUUGGUGUUUUUGUCCACACACGCCAGAGAUGAAUAUGAGAAAACCCACGUCACCGCUGAAAGUAUAGACCUAGUUAACAGUCUUAGGGAAGAACCAAUGAGAAGUACUUCUGUGAGCCUGCAUGCCAAAAGGAAUAUUAAUUCUCUUCAAGUAUUGUCAUACUUUUCAACCCCAAGAUUAAACUCUUGUCCACAUAAUCCUGAGUAUAUGGGAGAAGGGAUGCUGUUUCUCCCUCAAAAGAAUCUUCCCCAACUGCUGCUGUCUGAGGGUCUGCAGUGAAGCCUACUGUCAACAGAAAUACACUUUGAAGUGCAGGUUGAGCAUCACUAAUCCAAAAUUCCAAAAUCCAAAAUGUUUCAAAACCCAAGACUUCUUGAGCACCUGCAUGAUGCCGCAAGUGGAAAAUUUCACCCCUGAGCUCAUUUAACAG
rnacentral:lncRNA from 10 species